ensembl:snoRNA small nucleolar RNA SNORD111
CUGCAUCAAAUGAUGAGUUUUCAUGUCUCUUCUCUGAAUGUAAUGUGAGGAGUUUAUCUUUUUUAUCUGACACCUGCAG